GAUGUGGUCGACGACCCCUCAACCACUUCUCAUCUGCUGUCUCUAUGUUAGGAAGAUGAUGAGUUUGAGAAGGUCAAGCAAACAAUUGGCAGUGUAAUUCCACGAUAUUAGAUCACAGCCCCUAUCCCACGUGUUAAAAGAUCAUGACUACAAAACUUGAGGAUACAAAAGGCAUAGUAUACAUGUAUUUUGUUUUGUUCAAAAGAGUGUACAAGCUUGGUAAUAGUCUUAGAGUGGAGAAAUAAUGAUUGCAGAACUUGGGUUUACCAAGGGCAAGAAUAUAUGGAGCUUGGCCUCCAGUCUUUCAGUGGAAUUUGGAUAUGUUAUGUGUACUUGAAUGGCUAGUACGCUUGUGUACUUUUGAAUGAGAGAAAUUUGUAUUCAUGUAAUUUUCUAUUGAUC